AUUACGCAUGUGCGGAUAACAUGUUAUGUUUGCAUGCGCGGGAUGUGUAUACCAUUGCAAUAUAUUUGAUAUUUGAGCAACGAUUCAUCAAAGCAAUUGGUUUGAGGUGUCAACGCAUUUCCUAUGAGUUUCCAGUUUCUAAGUACAUUGUUGGGCAUCCUACAAAGGAUUUUAUUAGACAUGUUGUGAUGUUUAAUGAGCAAGAGAUGGUUGUUGAUUGUACUUGCAAGUCAUAUGGAGAGAUAGGAGUUCUUUGUUCUCAUAUUCUUCGAGUUUUCAUUGUCCAUAAUGUUGAAGAGAUUCCCAAACAAUACAUUAUGAAGAGAUGGACCAAAAAGGCUAUGAACAUGAUUGUUGAAGAAGGAGAAGAUAGAGAUAAUGAAGUAAGUGUUGUUUCUGCUUCAGUUUGGAGGAUGCAAAGCAUAAGAAAUUGCAUUAAAGUUAUAAAUGAAGCUCAACAUUGUCCGGCUGCAAGGAAGCUUAUUGAUUUGGGUGUGUUGGAUAUGUCAUGCAAAGUGAAGGAGUAUAUUGGUGGUGUUGAAGGGGAUGGUAAUGUAUCAAACAAGUAUGUGUGAGAAGAAACUCUACUUGAUGUCAUUGAGCCUUCAACAGACACAGUUUUGCCGGAUGUUGUUGAACCGAUUGCUGAAAAAGUCAUUCCAACAAUGAUUCAAAAUCCACCAAAGCGAAAGAGGAAGAUUAAGAACGGGACUGAAAAGGCUAAUGAGAGGAAUGUGAGACCUAAAGGAAUUGUUGAGAAGAAACGCAAUAAACUGAAAGGUUGGAACAAGAGAAGAGAAAGACAUGUUGAUAAUUUGAGGGAGGAAACUCAGUCUACUGAUCAGUGUAUCAUAAAUUUACCUGUUGGUGGGGUUUUGGUUCAUCCAACAUCUUCAAAUUCACAAUUGGAAGCAUAUGUUCCAGAUGAUUAUUUUGGAGUACACAUACAACCUUUGUAGAUUCAUUUACGAUUGGUAAUAUUUUUAUUUUUAGUUUGUUGUGUUUUUAAUCAUUUGUUUUUGUAUUCUCAAUAAUGUUCUUUUACUCUUUUGAUGUAUAUU